UAUUCUUGUGAUUCCAUAUUUUCUCCCUUGCAGUUGGAAGCCAGUAUUAAAAAUGGAGAUCUUCAGGGCUUUCAAUUGUUUAGCGAGGCUGCAAAGCAUACUUCAUUCACGAGUAGAAAGAAAGAUCUGACUGGGCAUGAAGGGACCUCUGAGGAGGGGAGGAAAAGAGAAAAUAAGAACCUGCCAUCCAGCGAAGAGAUUGGGAGGUGGGGAGUUCCCAAGAAGCCUUUACAAGAUCAUGAACGCUCGAAUGAAGAUUGGGAUGAUGAUGAAAGAAGCAAACACUAGAAGGUCAGACCGUGUUCAGAGUUGCAGGCAAGCAAUUUGAAUUGCAGAACGUGGCUUUUGUGCCCAGACAAAAAUGUAGUGAAUGUUGACCACGACUGCAAGCUCAGCGCAUAAGGGAGAGUCAAGAGGGAUACCACAAUUGUCCGAUAUUACCGGCAGCACACUGUUAUAAAUCAUACGAUGCUUUCACAUAAAGAAUGUAGAAUGUAGAAUCGGUUUGCAGACCAUCGAAAUGAAUUUGUUAUGUAUAGGUCCUUUUAGCAUGUCGCACAUUCUGGAUGGCUUUUUCAUUUUCGACUCUGGUUGGCUAAGGGCCAUGGUUUUUUAUUUAUUAAUUGGGUUGUUUUAUUUGAGGAAAUGAGGAAUGAAAAUGAAGCACAGUAACAUUACCAAGAAA